UUCGCGUGUAGCAGUGAAAUGCGUAGAGAUCGGGAGGAAUACCAGUGGCGAAGGCGGCCUUCUGGACUGACACUGACACUGAGGUGCGAAAGCGUGGGUAGCAAACAGGAUUAGAUACCCUGGUAGUCCACGCCGUAAACGAUGUCGACCAGCCGUUGGGUGCCUAGCGCACUUUGUGGCGAAGUUAACGCGAUAAGUCGACCGCCUGGGGAGUACGGCCGCAAGGUUAAAACUCAAAUGAAUUGACGGGGGCCCGCACAAGCGGUGGAGCAUGUGGUUUAAUUCGAUGCAACGCGAAGAACCUUACCUACUCUUGACAUCCUGCGAACUGGUGAGAGAUCACUGGGUGCCUUCGGGAACGCAGAGACAGGUGCUGCAUGGCUGUCGUCAGCU
rnacentral:rRNA from 1 species